UGUGGCUUAACACACACUUACGUCCAGUUUGAGCAUCCUACUGAUGAUGAGUUCCAGGACGUCUCGUCGUAGAGAGGGGAUGUACACCGCCACCCGCAGAAGGUUAUGGACAUAACACUCCUGGGGAGAGUGAAAGACAACCAUACUGUACAACAACCUGACAGAAGGUUAUGGACAUAACAGUCCUGGGGAGAGUGAAAGACAACCAUACUGUACAACAACCUGACAGAAGGUUAUGGACAUAACAGUCCUGGGGAGAGUGAAAGACAACCAUACUGUACAACAACCUGACAGAAGGUUAUGGACAUAACAGUCCUGGGGAGAGUGAAAGACAACCAUACUGUACAACAACCUGACAGAAGGUUAUGGACAUAACAGUCCUGGGGAGAGUGAAAGACAACCAUACUGUACAACAACCUGACA